rnacentral:rRNA from 1 species
UGGGGAAUAUUGGACAAUGGGCGCAAGCCUGAUCCAGCAAUGCCGCGUGUGUGAAGAAGGCCUUCGGGUUGUAAAGCACUUUUAUCAGGAGCGAAACGCUGUCGGCUAAUACCCGGCGGAACUGACGGUACCUGAGGAAUAAGCACCGGCUAACUUCGUGCCAGCAGCCGCGGUAAAUACGAAGGGUGCAAGCGUUAAUCGGAAUUACUGGGCGUAAAGCGUGCGUAGGCGGUUUCUUAAGUCUGCUGUGAAAUCCCCGGGCUCAACCUGGGAAUGGCAGUGGAUACUGGGAGGCUAGAGUGUGUCAGAGGGUGGUGGAAUUCCCGGUGUAGCGGUGAAAUGCGUAGAGAUCGGGAGGAACAUCAGUGGCGAAGGCGGCCACCUGGGACAACACUGACGCUGAGGCACGAAAGCGUGGGGAGCAAACAGGAUUAGAUACCCUGGUAGUCCACGCCCUAAAACGAUGCGAACCGGAUGUUGGUCUCAACUCGGAGCAUCAGUGUCGAAGCUAACGCGUUAAGUUCGCCGCCUGGGGAGUACGGUCGCAAGACUGAAACUCAAAAGGAAUUGACGGGGGUCAUAGCUGUUUCCUG